UAGCUCUCUGACCAUUUCAUUUCUUUGUGAUGCCAACAUGCACCUGACACGCUCCUUCGGGACCGGCAGGGGAGCUGUUGCUCUAACUCGCACCACUCCAGGGACAUCUACAGGGCCGGCGACGGCAGCUCCAGCCUCUGAGCUAGGGGCGGCCAGGUGUGCCUUGCCCGCACUGACAAGACGACGACGCACAGGUGAUGGGCCAUGGGAGGACGAUUUGAUGUCCAUCCACGACAGCAGAUGCCGAUUCGAUAAUUUCCAGUUUGUGGAUUUUACCAAGAUAAAGUCGACAGAAAUGUGCCAAGCCGAGAAGGAGCGAUUCAUGCUCGAAGCAGUGAUAAUCAACCAGCGGAACAGAUACUAGCUAGCAAUAUUGAGAGAUAUACUGAAGUCCUGACAUUGUUGGUUCCGAUAAUCUAAGCUGCAAUGGGAAUAGUUGAAGACUUAUUGUGGGCAGGUGAUAAUCGCUGACGGGCAGGAUGGAGCGGAAUUGGAGGUGGCCAGGAGGUAGCAGCAACCUUCGUGUAUGUCUCGGGUGCACUUUGUCCUGGUGCAAGGCAGCAGCAGGGCGACGCUGUUUGCUGACUGGAUAUGCGGCAUCGCGGCUGCCCUCUGGUUUGCUGAUUCGUUCCGUCUCCGACGGUGCGGGUAGUGGCUGCUGCUGCUUCUGUGUAAAAUUCCGCCGAAUGAAUUGUAAAGUUGUAUUUACUUGUUUCCUUUUGUAAUAACAAUGUGUGUAUAUAUAUAUUGAGAACUUGCGUCAGUGUUGGAUUGAAAUUGCAGCAGGUGUGGUUUAUGUAUUUUUUUACUUUUUUGUUUCUUGUUAUGCAUAGGCAAGCUGAAAUUUUGCAUAUUUUUCAGGUUCGUAUCAUAUUGGAGGAGGCCGACAAGCAGGGGUUCCGGGAGGUUGUCUUGGUGGUGAGCUGGGAGGAGGAGUAGGCGUGUUACUGAACGUCAUUGGGGACAUCAAGAAGUGCAGCGUGGUGGCGCUCCGGUGGAUUGACUGCAAGGUCUCCGUCGAGAGUAGCGCUGCUCCUGGCAGUCGCACUUCUCUGAAGCCCUCACCUAACAGGU